UACGGGGGGGGCAAGCGUUGUUCGGAAUUACUGGGCGUAAAGGGCUCGUAGGCGGCCAACUAAGUCAGACGUGAAAUCCCUCGGCUUAACCGGGGAACUGCGUCUGAUACUGGAUGGCUUGAAUUCGGGAGAGGGAUGCAGAAUUCCAGGUGUAGCGGUGAAAUGCGCAGAUAUCAGGAGGAACACCGAUGGCGAAGGCAGCUCGCUGGGACGGUACUGACGCUGAGGCGCGAAAGCGUGGGGAGCAAACAGG
rnacentral:rRNA from 1 species